GACAGCUGAGGGUCACUCCGUUAAGGUUGUCGCUGCUGUAGGGGCCCUCGCCCCGCUGUGUGUUUGUGCCACCCAGCGUACUGGGUGCUUUUUCAAAAUUUUAUCAUGGACGUCACAAAACACACAUGUGACUUAGGUGGCUCUCCACCUCCUCCCCUGAUUCAGUUUUGGUGGAACUGCUUCCCUGGCCAAAGCUCAGGGGCCAGUCAGACCCUUCUCCCCAGGACUUUAUGAGCCUUGGGCGCAUCACCUCCUCCUGGAAGCCUUCCCUCAGCUGGGGCAGGUGCCUCUCUUGGAUGCCUGAGUUCCAGCUGUCAAAGCACUUAUAUGCCAGUAUGUUUAUCUGCCCUCUCCUUCACCCCACCUCAGCCUUUGAAGAGUGCCUGGCACGUGGUUGGUGCUCAAUAAAUGUCGGAUGAAUGA